GAUGAACGCUGGCGGCGUGCCUAACACAUGCAAGUCGAGCGGAUGGACGAAGCUUUCGCCUGGAUUCCGCUGCGGGCGGGUGAGUGAGUCCUAGGAAUCUGCCUGGUAUUGGGGGAUAACGUCCGUAAACGGGCGCGGAUACCGCAUACGUCCUUAUGGUGAAAGUGGGGGAUCUUUGGAGCUCGCCGUAUCUGCUGUGACUAGGCCGGAUUAGCUAGUUGGUGGGGUAAAGGCCUACCAAGGCGACGAUCCGUAACUAGUCUGAGAGGAUGAUCAGUCACACUGGAACUGAGACACGGUCCAGACUCCUACGGGAGGCAGCAGUGGGGAAUAUUGGACAAUGGGCGAAAGCCUGACACAGCCAUGCCGCGUGUGUGAAGAAGGUCUUCGGAUCGUAAAGCACUGUUAGUUGGGAGGAAGGGCAGUAAGUUAAUACCUGGCUGUUUUGACGUUACCAACAGAAUAAGCACCGGCUAACUUCGUG
rnacentral:rRNA from 1 species